rnacentral:rRNA from 1 species
UACGUAGGGGGCAAGCGUUGUCCGGAUUCAUUGGGCGUAAAGAGCGUGUAGGCGGCCAUGCAGGUCCGUUGUGAAAACUGGAGGCUUAACCUCCAGACGUCGACGGAAACCGCGUGGCUAGAGUCCGGAAGAGGAGAGUGGAAUUCCUGGUGUAGCGGUGAAAUGCGCAGAUAUCAGGAAGAACACCAAUGGCGAAGGCAGCUCUCUGGGACGGUACUGACGCUGAGACGCGAAAGCGUGGGGAGCGAACAGG